rnacentral:rRNA from 1 species
AUGUCGGCGACCGUGGUGAGCAUGGCGAGGUCCAUGCUGGUGGGCGCCAUCAGUGUGGCCGCCUCUGCCGCCGCGGCCGAGAUGAGCCUCCUUAUGGGCGUCCGCAAGGACAUCUGGUUCAUCAAAGACGAGCUAGAGACCAUGCACGCAUUCCUUUUGUCCACUGAAGCAACGAAGAGCAAGAGCAUGGUACUGAAGGUUUGGGCGAAGCAAGUAAGGGACCUUGCUUAUGGUAUUGAGGAUUGUCUAGAUGAAUUUAUGGUACAUGUGGCAAGUCAGAGUUUGUCUCGACGAUUAUUUAAGCUGAAAGACCGUCAUCGGAUCGCCAAACAUAUCCGUGAUCUCAAAGCAAGAGUUGAAGAAGUGAGCAAUAGGAAUACACGGUACAACUUGAUCACCACUGAUGCCUCCAGCAACGUUGAAGAGGUGAAUUCUUACAUGGAAGAUAUUCGCAGUCACUCAGCUAGCAAUAUUGAUGAGGCAGAGCUUGUGAGCUUUGUAAAUUGUAAAGAGGAGCUGAUUAAGAUGAUGGAUGUCAACUCCGGAGAUGAUCUUUCCAAGGUAAUAUGCAUCGUUGGCAUGGGUGGUUUAGGCAAGACUACUCUUGCAAGGAAGGCAUAUGAAUGUAAAGAAGAUAUUGUGAAUAAAUUUUCUUGUUGUGCUUGGGUCACUGUCUCACAAUCGUUUUCCAAGAUAGAGAUGCUCAAGGACAUGAUUAGACAACUCUUGGGUGUCGAGUCAAUGAAGAAAUGCUUGAAAGAACUCGAAGGGAAGGCAGUGCAAGUAGAUGAUCUCGGCAUGUACCUCAGAGAAGGAUUAGAAGAUAAGAAGUACUUUAUUGUUCUUGAUGACUUGUGGACCAUAGAUGCAUGGAAGGGGAUAACACAUAUUGCUGUUCCUUCUAGAAACAAUAAAGGUAGCCGGAUAAUAGUCACAACACGAGAUGCUGGCUUGGCUGAGCAGUGCACUUCUGAAUCACUUAUCUACCACCUUAAGCACCUGGAAACAGAUGAUGCCACGGAUUUGCUACUAAGAAAAAGUAGGAAAACACAAGAAGACAUUAAAAAUUCUGAGAAAAUGAAGACCGUGGUCACCAAUAUAGUGAAGAAGUGUGGCGGUUUACCGCUGGCUGUACUCACUAUAGGAGGCAUGCUUACCAGCAAAAAACUAACAGAGUGGGAAAGUAUUUAUAAGCAGAUCCCAUCAGAGCUCGAGAGCAACCCUAGCCUCGAAGCAUUGAGGAGGAUAGUUACUCUGAGUUACAACUACUUGCCAUCUCAUCUCAAGUCAUGCUUUUUGUAUUUGAGCAUUUUUCCUGAGGAUUUUGAAAUCAAAAGGAGGCGUAUAGUAGAGAGAUGGAUAGCCGAGGGGUUUGUUAGAGCCAAGGUUGGUGUAAACAUUGACGAUGUUGGAAUAAGUUACUUUAAUGAGCUAAUCAACCGAAGCAUGAUUCAACCCUCAAGAGUGAAUAUGGAAGGAAUCAUUAAGAGUUGUCGAGUCCAUGAUAUCAUGCGUGAUGUCAUGGUCUCAAUCUCUAGAGAUGAAAAUUUUGUGUUCAUUGCAGAGAGUAGUGUAACUACUUCAGUAGAACACAACUUCCGUCAUGUAGCAUACCAUGGUAGCAUAUGCCAAAACAUAGACAUGGAUUGGAGAAAUGUGCGGUCAUUAACCGGAUUUGGUGAGAGAUCCAUCGGGCCAUCACCUAAAGUUUGUUCACAUGACAUCAGAAUGCUUAGAGUCUUGGAUUUAGUGGAUACAAAAUUUCAAGUUACACAGAGAGAUAUAGAUAACAUAGGAUUAUUGGUCCACUUGAAGUAUAUGAAUAUUCGGCUUGAUGAAGACUGUGCAUAUGUUUACAAACUUCCAAGAUCCAUUGGUAAGCUACGGUACUUGCAAGCUUUGGACAUCCGUGACACAUAUAUUACAUCACUGCCAACUGAGAUAAGUAAACUCCAAUGUCUCCGUAGUCUCCAUUGCACAAAAGAAGUCUUGUUCAGAGCUCUUGAUCCAGUUGAACCAAUUGACUGUCUGUAUGCAACUUUGUGUGUACCCAAAAUGUUCACACCUUUGGUUGAUCCUGGUCGGCGUGCUGAAGUCACUGCUGAGCGAUGCAUGACAUGCUCUAGUCGCUGGUCCAUGUCGAUGGGCGUGAGAGUGCCUAGAGGUAUUGGCAACUUAAAAGAGUUACAGAUACUGGAGGUUGUGGAUAUCAAACGCACUUGUAGGAGGGCAAUUAAAGAGCUGGGGAAGCUUAUGCAGCUAAAAAAACUGAGAGUUGUAGCCAAAGGAGCCACCCUGCAAAAAUGUAAAAUCUUGUGUGCGGCGAUCGAGAAGCUAUCUUCCCUGUCAUCUCUUGGUGUGGAUGCUAGAUCACUCAAGUUGCUGGAUUAUAUUUCCACCCCUCCCCCCCUCCUAAGGACCCUGAAGUUGGGUGGACCUCUUGGAGAGGUGCCCGGCUGGUUCAGGAAUCUUACGAAUUUGGUGAAGAUUUACUUUAAGCGGAGCUAUAUGAAGGAAGGUGGUAAUACCAUGGAAAUAUUGGGGGAGCUCCCUAACCUCAUGCUCUUUCAUCUGGAUUCGAAUUCUUACGAUGGGGAUAAGCUCGUGUUCACCACAGGAGCAUUCCCAAAGCUAAGGAAACUUGAGGUUUUAGAUCUGAAUCGAUUGAAGGAGGUGAUAUUCGAGGAGGGCACCUCACCCAACAUUGAAAGGAUAGAAAUUGGUCGUUGCUCGUUGAGAUCAGGGAUUAUUGGCAUUGAACACCUUUCAAGACUCAAAGAGAUUUCACUGGAUCACCAUGGUCAAGUGGCGAGGCUUGGUAUGCUGCAACGUGAAGUGGACGCACAUCCCAACCGUCCCGUUCUGCGACUCAGGUGGGACUGGAGCCACCAUGACCUCGAUGACAUCGUCCAAGGAUAA